UCAUCUCCAUCUUCUCCCUCGUGGCUAUCUCAGCUUGUGCUAGACCUCCUUCAGACAUUACUGAUACGCCCGAGUCACCCGAUUCCACACCCGAAUCACCUGAUUCCACACCCGAGGCACCUGAUGAUGACUAUUCACCUAAUGCACCAGAUGAAGCAGCAGACGGUUAUGCACCUCCACCUGAAGCACCAACCCCAUCUACAACCUUUACAAUAUUGCC
rnacentral:lncRNA from 1 species